rnacentral:lncRNA from 10 species
UAGUGAGUGUGAAGUGGUAUCUCAUUGUGGUGCUGAUUUUCAUUUCCCUGAUAGUUAACGAUGUUGAGCAUCUUUUCAUACAUUUAUUGGCUCUUUGAAUUUUUUUGUAAGAGACGUCUGUUUGGAUCCUUUCCCCAUUUUUUAAUUGGGUGGAGUUAUUUCCUCUUCAUGUCAGUAGCCUCUUCUAUCAAUGUCCUCUUUUGGAGUAACCCUAGAAAAUGGGGGUUUUCCUCUUAGAAUUAAGAACAUGUUUGUUUCUGCUGUGACAAGCAGGAGUUCAGCCUCAAAAAAUAAUUGAAAAUCUGGGGACUUGACAAAAUGCCUUGAUAGAGUCUGCAAAUCCAGAAGGAAAGAGUCAGACUUUAGGGAACUGUUUUGUCUGAAAAAGCUGCAGCCCAAUUAAUAGUCUGCGAAAGUGGAAAAAACAAAGAAAGAAAGAAAGGAAAUGAUCUGGCUUGGAAGUGGCAGGUUCUGGUAAUACUGCUAAUUGUGGUUUGCUCCUGACUCCUUCUUUGCUCUGCGAAUGCUUCCAUUCUGUUAGUCACCCUGGAGAAUAAAUAAACUCAUUUGUCUGACCUCAUUCUCGACAAGGGCAGAUCGAAAUUCCACGGGGAAAUUACAGAAACAGCACUCCACUCCUUGCAAGGUGAUCCUCUCUCGUUUCUUUCCCUCCAGGGCUCCCCUUCUGACAUUAGCAUCUAUUAUCUUCCUGGCUGAAUUCUUCCCUAAAGGGCGCUCGGCAUCCCUAGGUGGUUGCCAGUGUCAAGGCAACCUCACCAACUGUGAAGGUAUCCUGAGCUCCUGGAACAGGCAGAAAAGAAACCUGGCAGGAAGAUUUGGAGGUGGCUGCAAGCUGGCCUGACUUCUGCAGUGAAACAAGUCCCAGGAGCUGGAGGUACACCAUGCUGAGCUCCUGUUUCCUUGCAAGAUAACAGGUGUUCAGUGCCCCAAAAGGUGUUUCUUGCUUUGUCCUGUGACUGUGGACCACCUCUUCCCUGGGCAAUCCAGAGAGCUCUUCCACCAUCCAACAGCUGCAACCACACUGGCUCCAAAAAAGUCUGAACCCAACUUUUGAAGAGGGAUGCACCUUCCAUGUCUGCCUCUCCUUGGUUCCCCACGGGCAUGGCCGUGACCAGCUGGACGGUUAAUCCCCCACGAAUAAUCUUAUCACCCAGAGAAUGGAAUUGGAGAGAAGAUGAAAUAUUUCCAUCUUCACUGACAAGGACUUCUGGCAAUUUGGAUGAAUGAUGCCAAGAGAAGAAAGCAACCAGCUUAUAAACUUCCUAAGGAAGCAAAUUUCAAAAGAAACCCCAAACAUCACGAAUCACAAGCUGCUUUGUUUUCUUAUUCAUGACCUUCAUCUACCUUCCCUUUCAUCAAGUAAAUGGAAAUGUGUCAUUCUGAUUAACGGUGAUUGCUUCCUUGUCAUACAUCAACUAAAAUGAGAUGUUUCACCAUCAGAUUUAAGGGGACAUGGGCAUAUAUUUAAGAGGUAUUUUUUUAAAAGGCAUUCUUGAUUAUCCAUAUCACUUAAAAAAUUCUUGUCUUCUUCCCACCUCAUCCCCUUUUCCUGCAGAUCUUUAAAGGUAGAGAAAUGAUAUGACAUUCAGUGGUGGUUGAUUAUAGCCUUGUUGGUAUAGCUGUAUUGUUUACAAAAUUGGUGCAAUAAUGGUGACUCGUAACAGGAUUAUAAUAAGCCAGAAAAUAAUUCUAGCUGGCAAGCUCUGCAGUGAUUUUCCUACAGAAAUCACACCUCAAGCUCCUCUUUUUAAGGAGUUUUAAUGCAACUUAUUAUUUCCCUUCUCGGAGGCAACUUAUCUAUGUAGAAAGAAAAAGACAAAGAAAACAAUCUACAUGGAUCGUGAUUGCAAACAUCAUGAUUUUAAGACAUAAAUUUCUAGAGGGUGAGGAUAGUAUGGAAACCUGUAUAAUGUUAACAGAAGACUCCAGGGGCAGGGACCAUGCUGUUGGUUUCUUAGUGUAUUCUAAACCUCUAGCACAAUGCUUAUAUUAUAUUUAGAAUUCAAUACUUACCUUUCGAAUAUAGUUGUGAAGGUCAAGCACUGAGUCUAAAACAUAUUGAAAAUCAUCCACAAAGGGAUGGUAACUAAGGAUAUGAAAGAGGAAGAGAUUAAAAGGAAGUGAAUUAGUGAAGGAAUGAGUGAUUACAUCCUCAGGGCUAAUAAACACUAAGCAAGAUGACAGAGUUAGUGUAACUAUGACCUAGACAGUGAACUCCUUGGGGGCAGGAACUACACAACCUACCUGAUUAGCCAGCAUCCCGCAUCAAAGUCAGCUUUCAGUAAUGCUUGUGGGAUGAACAAGCAGAUGGAUAAGCGGAGGAAGCUGCUUCAACCUAAACCUUUACCUCUAGGCACAAACAGCAGAUGCUGUGCCUGUAAUAAAUCUUUUUUCUUAAAAAUCAAUGUAAAUUAAGGCCAUUUCCUCAGCAGAAAAAAAUAACCUGACAAGUAUAAGUAUGGUUGGGAAUAAAAGCCCUGGAGGAUAAAUGUGGGACUAUCUAUGCUUGAGAGCUCCUCCCUCCACAGAAGAAGCAUUUGUACUUUGUUCAUGUUAAGCUAGUAAGAUAGUGUUGACGGCUGCAUUAAUUCUAAUAUUCAUAACCUAAGCUAGCAGUAUAAAGUGCCUGGUACUGGUCUGGAGCCUGAAUGUGCUAUCACCAAAUCAGAUGCAGACAUGGUGUGAUCCACUAGGGAAUGAGGGUAGACCCUGCCAAUUAAGCUAUCACAGGGAACCUUAUCACUGGGUUUGGAUGAAGUCCAUUCAAAGCCUUGCACACAGGAAAAGUUCCAAAGAGCAUGUAAGUCCUCUCGACACAGAGAAAUAGAAGCUGUCCAAGUUUAAGACAACAAACACAUCCACAGGGUAGUUAGGGAUGACUCAAAGAUUCUAAGUCAGGACCAGGAAGCGGAGAAGCUAUUAAUUGGGUUGGCAAGGUCACGAGAAGGAUUUGGUUGGAAGAAGAAAAUGGGUCCAAUUUUGGGCAUAUCAAUUUUGUGGUGACAGAUGGACAUACAGAAAGAAAUGAUGAGCAGAGAGUCAGAAAUACAUGUCUGGAGCUCCUACAGGCAAGAGUGUCGUAGAUACUUCCAUGUUAACUGCAUAUGACUUCAGGUAAUGCCAAGGCAGGAGAACACAGAGAGCACAGAAGGCAUGACCAAAGAGGUGAUAAAAGCAGCCAAAAGACACCAAAGGGACAGUUGGAAGGCAGGAGGGAGAUCAGGGCACCCUGGUUGUUCAGAAGAAAAGGAAGAAAAUAAUUUCUAGAAGGCAAUACUCAACAAUAAUGAAUUGGGCAGAGUUUAUGCGGACAACGACUGAAGAAAUGUUGCUAAGAGAUGAUCAAUGGCCUUCAGACAGUGGGUUUCAGUCAUGUUGAGUGAUGCAAACUAGAACAUAUGGAUUAAGGAUGAGUAGUUAUUGAGGCAGUGGGUUCUAAAUAUUCCUUUAAUGUGAAUUGAUGGUUUUUAAAGUAAGAGCACAUAUUACACAUCUUAGAAGAUUCAACUGAAAUGUUAUUGCCCUGGUAAGUUUUUGCUAAUCUCCCAGACAGAAAUAAAUUUCCAUUUCUCUAUACUAUCAUAAUACUUUGUCCAUAUAGCACCUAUCAUAUUUUGCUUCAUACUACAAUUUUCUUAUUUUAGGUGCAGUGCUCCUCCAAUGCCUACCCAAAAGAGUUGGUUAUUCAUGAAAUAUUUGUAGAAUGAAUUAAUGAAGACCUACUUGUUUACAGGUCUGCCUGUCCAAUGUGGUGUGAGUCUUAUUUUGCAUGAAACCUAUUGGAGAAAUUAAUAAAAAGGUACAUUAUAUAUGUUUUAAAAAGCUUAUUAGUUGUAAAAUAAUACAGAUACAAAAAACUGCAUUAAAUAAAUGCUUAGUUUAAUAAACUAUUAUAAGGUCAACACUUUGUAACCAUGACCCAAAUCAAGACAAAGAAAUCUGCCAGACACCUCAUAAACCCUCUAUACAAUCAUUUUAACAACAAUUCCCUUCCCUACACCCUCAAAAGUAAUCUUUGUCCUCACUUUUAUGGCAAUCGCUUCUGAGCUUUCCUUUACAGUUUUAUCACCUGAUUAUACAUCCCUAUAUUUCAUUUCCCCUGUUAUUUUUAUGUCUCUAUUAGUCUACAGGUUACCCUUUGGUCUCUCCACAUUUGUUUCUCAUGUAAUUUAUUUGUUGAAGAAAACAAGUGUGUCCUAUAGAGUUUCUUACUAUCUGGAUUUUGCUGAUUGCAUCUCUGUGGAUCUACUGGAUUGAUCAUUGGGUUUAAUUUUUGGCAAGACAACUAUAGAGAUAUUAAUAGUAUUGUAUUCUUCUAUCACAGCCAUGUGAUGUACGGUUGUGUCUUUACUUAUGAUAACAGCAAAUGUACAAUGCCUAGAUCUAUUAAUUUAUCUGAGUUGCAAAAUAGUAAUAUUCUAAUUUAAUCAUUCUUCAUUUAGUUAUUAGUUGAAAUAAUUCUAUAAAGAUAAAAUUCACUCAUCUACUGCUUGGUUAUCAGGGAUGAAACUCAUAUAGAAAAGACAGAUUAUUUUUUGCCCUCAUUAUUUACCAGUUUAAAAAAUAAGUGGUUAUUAUUUUCAAAAAUGACAAAUUAUUUUCUAUCCUUAUGAAUUCAUAAAUUUAAACAUAUUUAUUGAGCUUCAGUUCACCGAAAAUAUUAUCCUUACUGAACAUAAAUUGUCUGAUCUUUGUCCAGUGGGAAAAUCAUUAGUUCCUUUGUCCUUUUGACAUAAUCCUAAUAGUUUUCUAGCUUCCUUGCUAACGAGGUAUGUGUAUGACACAAUCUCCUAGGCUCAUCUUGUACAAAUUCUGCCCAGACCUAGAAUCCUCUAAUUUCCCAAGAAUAGCUGUUUUCUUUUAGUGGGAAAUAGUAUUUCAAGAUCAUAAUCUGGGUCCUAGAGAUGUCAUUGCUAUUGGGUUGCUUUCUCUUUCUAAGCCUUUUCAGUACACGAGUAUGAACUCACAAUGUAUAUGAUACUUCCAAUUUAAAUUCAGUACCACAGGAUUUUUACUUGACCUUUUCUACCUGGCAUUUAUAUUUACUUUCUUCCAUGCCAGAAUACUGAUUCUAGAGAACACAGGGGAUUCAAGAAUUAGAAAAUCACAUAAUUGCCCAUGUGAUUUAUUUCAUUAUAUAUGAAACAGACUCAGCAUUAGCAAUUCUUCUACUAUAAAUAUAUAUAGCACUCAGUAUCAAGCUGUAUGUUAAUAACUCUCUAGUUAAUUUGGUUUAUUGGAAUUUACUCUCACUAAAUUCCUCAGAAAAAGCUCAUGGGAAAAAUAUUCUCCAAGUCAUUGAGUUUGCCUGAGCCCUUCAUGUGAAUGUCAAUUUAGUUGGAUAUAAAAUUUUUAGCUCACACAUCUUUCCUUAAUUAUCUUAAAUAUAUUAUUCUAUUUCCUUACAGUAUAAAGCAAUGUUGUAGGAAAGUCUACUGAAAGCCUGAUAUUGUCUAUUAUAAGUGAUUUGAUCUUUUUGCCUGGAUGCCUAAAUUUUUGUUUUUCUUCAAAGUCUAAUAGUUUUAUUAACUUUCUCUCAGUGUUGGUUAUUUUGGGUCAGUUUCCUUAGUUAUGUGGUGUGUAAUUUCAAUAUGUAAUUUAAACAAUUGUUUUGGGAAACUUUUGAAAUUAUAGUUUUGGGUAUUUUUUUGUUCCCUCAUUUUGAUUUUCUUUGGAGCCCUUAUUAUACGUAUGUUGGAUCUCCUUUGACUGCCUUCUAAAUUUGUCACUUUCCCUCAAAUCCUUAAAAAAAUUUCCAUUUUUAUCCUUUCUGAGUGAUAUAACUUCAUUUAUAAAUCUUCCUAAUUUGGAAUUAUGUAUUUUUCCACAUCAUGUGACAUUUUCUUAGGUUUUUUUUUUAGCUUGUUAGAAAUAGUGGGUUGUAGUUUUUAUUUGAAGGGGGAUGGGCCUGUAUUAGUAGCAUUUUUAAAUUUUUUGUGAAGCUAUUUUACUCUUUAUUAUUUUUUAAAUAAGAUUAUACCUAUGUCUUAGUACAUUUUGUGUUGCUGUUACAGAAUACCACAGACUGGAUAAUUUAUAAUGAAGAAAAAUUUAUUGGCCCACAGUUCUGAAGGCUGGAAAGUCCAAUAUCAAGUUGUCAGCAUCUGGCAAGAGUCUUCUUGCUGCAUCUUGACAUGGUAGAAGAGCAAAGAGAGAGGGAAAGGAGGCUGAACUUUCCCUUUUAUAAGAGCAUAGUCCCCCUUAAAUUGAGUUAUUUAUUAAAGGUCCUACUACUUAAUAUUGUUAUAAUGGCAAUUAGUUUCAACACAAGUUUUGGAAGUGACAAAUACUCAAACCGUAGCAACUGUGAUCUUUUCCUGUUGCCCAUUUCUAUGUAAAAUUUGCUCUUUUAAACUUUUUUUAUUUUUUGAGACAGAGUUCCACUCUUGUCACCUAGGCUGUAGUGCAAUGGUGAGAUCUCAGCUCACUGAAGCCUCCGCCUCCUGGGUUCAAGCAAUUCUCCAGCCUCAGCCUCCUGAGUAGCUGGGAUUACAGGCUCCCACCACCACUCCCAGCUAAUCUUUUGUAUUUUUAGUAGAGACGGGGUUUUGCCAUGUUGACCAGGCUGUUCUUGAAAUCCUGACAGGUCAUCCACCUGCCUCAGCCUCCCAAAGUGCUGGGAUUACAGGUAUGAGCCAACACGCUCAGCAUCUUUUCAACUUUUAAUCGGGAUAUAGUUCAGUAUAGUUUUACUAACUUUUCCAACUUUAGGCUUUACAGCACCUUCUCCUUUCGUUUUCAUGCAGUUUUCAAAACAUACAGCAGCUUGUUCUCUGAGAUCUCUUACCUCUAGGCACUUCUUCCACUUUUAUCUUUACCUUCUCUUUCCCUUGUCUUUAUACUGCUCAGUUUGGGUCCUGCUCUCAACAGUUUGUCCUCAGUGAGUGACUACCCUGGAAGGAAGUUUCAAAUGUUCAAGAAACCCAGACCAUUCCACUCCUUUAGAUCUUACUGUUAACUCUUUUUAUUCACCUGCUAGUAGAGUACACAAAGCCUCUCCCAGUUUUGGCUACUUUCCAUUGAGUACAUGUUGGACAUUUGGGGAUCCUGAGGCAUGUCAACUGCUUUGUUUCUCCCCUUAGCUUCCUCCUGCUAAAUUAUGGCUGAUAUAAUGUGGGCCCUUGUUGCUAUUAAUGAUUUGUCUCCCCAAAAUCAUAUUUUUGUCAAUUUAAUUUGUUAAUGACAUUCAUGUGUUUUGGUUUUGCUAUCUUUUUGCUCUAUUUUUUAAAAAAAUUGAGGAUAUUUAAAACUUCUUCUGCCACUGCCACAAUAUUCCAAGAUAUUUAUAUUUUUGUAUGUUAUUGAUAUAGUAAUACAAAUUGAAAUAUAGUAU